UCGGAUCAGGUAGGGAUACCCCAAAAUAU
rnacentral:rRNA from 1 species